rnacentral:rRNA from 1 species
ACAGAGGGUGCGAGCGUUGUCCGGAAUUACUGGGCGUAAAGGGCGCGCAGGCGGCUCUGAAAGUCAGAUGUGAAAGCCCCGGGCUUAACCUGGGAAUUGCAUUUGAUACUCUGGAGCUUGAGUACGGGAGAGGAGAGUGGAAUUCCCAGUGUAGAGGUGAAAUUCGUAGAUAUUGGGAAGAACACCGGUGGCGAAGGCGGCUCACUGGCUCGUUUCUGACGCUCAGGCGCGAUAGCGUGGGGAUCAAACAGGA